rnacentral:misc_RNA from 1 species
GCAAACUUGGUCAUUUAGAGGAAGUAAAAGUCGUAACAAGGUUUCCGUAGGUGAACCUGCGGAAGGAUCAUUAUUGAAACAAAAUCAAAUAGACUGCUGCUGGUUUCCUUUCAGAAGCAUGUGCACGUCUGUUUUAUUUUUCAAUUCUCCUGUGCACUAUCGGUGGAUCCUUUUCACCACAACAAAACAGACAAUUAUCUUGCUUCAAAGAAUUUUUAUUUCUUUGGUCAGAGAGGCCUGCCGUAAACCUUUUGUUUAUAGCUCUUCUUGUGAAUUGUUCUUUUUUUGUUUUGGAAAGAUCUUGCCGUUUUAUACCAUGAACACUGUUGUAUCAGAAUGUGUUGUUAAAAUGAUAAUCAUUAUAACUUUCAACAACGGAUCUCUUGGCUCUCGCAUCGAUGAAGAACGCAGC